rnacentral:snRNA from 1 species
AGCUUUGCACAGUGGCAGUAUCGUAGCCAAUGAGGUUUAUCCGAGGCACGAUUAUUGCUGAUUGAGAGAUAAAAAGAAUAGUAACGCUUAUCUCAGAAGGUCUUGAAUCAACUGAGA